GCUGCUCAAAAGGAUAAGAUAUUUGGCAGAGGCUCAGAAUUCAAGCUCUCAAUCUUUCCUCCUCCCCCUCCGGCUAUAUGAUCAAGAUUGAUUUUACCAUUGACAGGGACUGAUGUAGGCUGGCUGGCUUGAAAAACUGUUGCACUUCAAUUUGUUCUUCGCAUUGUUAUCUUGAACUGUUUCUCUUCUUCAAAUAAUCGAGCAUAUUCGCUCAGAUUGUAAUAAAUGCUGCACUUGAUUCGGUUCAUAUGUUGAACCGCAAAACUUUGCGUUGUGGUGUAGCUUGUGUUAUUUGAUUGUUCAGUAUGGAAUCUCAGUUCGUUCAUUGUGUCAGGUGAGAUCAAAUAAUUUAUCGUUACAUCCUAAUUUGUAUGGUGUUCAUUGAGCACAUUCUGAACAAUUCUGAUUUGGAGCUAUGUAUAUAGUCUUGACUUAA